GAUGAACGCUGGCGGCGUGCUUAACACAUGCAAGUCGAACGAUGAUGCCCAGCUUGCUUGGUGGAUUAGUGGCGAACGGGUGAGUAACACGUGAGUAACCUGCCCUUGACUCUGGGAUAAGCCUGGGAAACUGGGUCUAAUACCGGAUACGACCAUCUGGCGCAUGUCAUGGUGGUGGAAAGCUUGUGUGGUUUUGGAUGGACUCGCGGCCUAUCAGCUUGUUGGUGGGGUAAUGGCCUACCAAGGCGACGACGGGUAGCCGGCCUGAGAGGGUGACCGGCCACACUGGGACUGAGACACGGCCCAGACUCCUACGGGAGGCAGCAGUGGGGAAUAGUGCACAAUGGGCGCAAGCCUGAUGCAGCGACGCCGCGUGAGGGAUGACGGCCUUCGGGUUGUAAACCUCUUUCAGUAGGGAAGAAGCGAAAGUGACGGUACCUGCAGAAGAAGCGCCGGCUAACUACGUG
rnacentral:rRNA from 1 species